GGUUUCUUAACCAGGGGUCAGGGGCCCAGAGGGUAGUCUGGUGUCCAUCUGAGAGUGAGUGGAGUUGGGGGCCGGGGGAAGGAGAGGCGGAUGACACUCAAUAUCUUUCAAGGUCCCACUCUGCCAAAAACAUCAUUGAGCAUCUACUCUGUGCCAAGUAAUGUUCUAUGCAGAUGAAUCGGUUCCCACCAUCCAGCGGUCACAGCCUGCCAGGAAGCAAGAGAAGACGACGAAGACUUGCCUUCAGACCGCAAUUAAGUAGCAGAGAGAACACUUUUCUUCAAGUUAGUCAGUCUUGUCUGUGUGUGGCUUGCUCGUUGGACUUGGGAGAACUGAAAGAUCGUGACACACACACCUGCCUGGGCGAG
rnacentral:lncRNA from 1 species